ensembl:lncRNA
ACUGCCUGAGGAAUUUGGAUCCUCUUGUGGGCCUUUCACACCUUAAAGAACUUUAUGUCGAGAGGAACCAGUUAGCUGACCUACCAGACCUACUCUUUCAAAACAGUAACUUAACUCAGUUCAAAGCAAAUGGUAACCCUCUUAGAAAGCCUCCUCAGGAGGUGUGUGCAGGGGGAUUGAAAGAUAUCCAGAACUACUUUGCAAUGCUUGAGGCCAACGCCCCAAAUCAGAAAACUGUGAAGACUAUGUUUCUGGGGACCUCCAUGGCAGGGAAGUCCACUCUGUGCCGCAGUCUGAAACAGGGUUGCCCUGUACCGGUGCACGAGGAUGACCGUACGGUAGGGAUCGAAAUCAGUGAAGUUGAUAAUGAGGGUAUCCGUUUUAUCUUUUGGGACUUUGCUGGGCAAGAGGAAUACUACAUCACCCAUCAUGUGUUUAUAACAGCUCAAGCCUUUGUCAUACUUGCCAUCGACAUUUCCAGGUAAAGCCUUUUUUUUCUUUGCUUCUGCUAGAUCUCACAGUGUAAUAUACUAAACAUGUACAACUUGUUGAGAAUUUAUUCUUUUAUUAGCAAAAAUCACUAUUACUAAUUGGUUAGAUGUGUCAUUUUUGCAUUGUGACUAUAAAAUGGGCAAAACCAGAAUAUUAUAGAGAUUUAGGGGACUUUUUUCACUAUUGGGCCAGUUGGAAUAACACCCCAGCCACCAAAAAGCAAUGCAUUCAACUUUUUUUUUUUCAGUUACAACAUGGAUGCCCAGAGUUUCGAGGAGAAUGUGGGAUUCUGGAUAAAAAAUCUUCAGCUUAAGAUACCAGACUCAGUAGUUCUGCUUGUGGGCACUCAUGUUGACCAAUGCACAGAUGAGAAUGAUGUGGGAAAAAAGAAAAAACACAUCGAAGAGCAAGUAAAGGAAAUGCUUGAAACUCAUACAACUAAUUUAGAGCAGCAUAAGAAGAACCUCCAGGAUAAGGAGGACUCAUCUUCGUACUAUGACCAGAUAAAUCAGAUUGAAAGACUGACUGAGUACAAACUAAAGGUCCUUGAUCUUGUACCUAUAGAUUGCACUAAAAAGGAGGACAUUGUCAAGCUAGGUGAUCACAUCAAAAGUGAGGUUUUAAACAAAGCUACAUUCCCCAGCAUAGAACAGACAUUACCUAGAAGCUACUAUGAGGUGGAGAAGGAUAUCAAAGAACUUCUGAAAAACGGUGACAUUGCUGAGCAUGGUCAGUUUUAUUUUUAAAAAAAUUUUUUAGAUUACAAUGUGUGGUGUGUUUUUAGAUUACAAUGUGUGGUGUGGUGUGUUUGUUCUUAAAUAUGUUUCUUAAUCCUGAAAUUUGCACCUAUUAACAGGAAUUGUGAGUCAAAGCAUCCUCUUGUAUGAACUGAAGAACAGACAUGUUACACUGGACGAUGACAAACUUAAGUUAAUUCUUCUGUAUCUCCACCGAAUUGGAGUCAUUAUGUGGUACAAGGAAAUCCCAGAAUUGGCGGGUUCUUUGUUUGUAA